UAUAUAUAUAUAUGAACGCAUUGUGAUAUUUUCUUCUAAGUUUGAAACAAAGUAUAAUUCUACUCUUCCAUUCUUCACUGAUUCAUAUCAAGGUUUGAAACCCAGUUUCCGCAUUCGAAGGAAGGGAGGCCUUGGCUGAUACAGACCCACAUCAAAAUUUUACUGGUUUUAGAGGGAUUCUCUUAAUACAAGGUUGAAGCUUGAAUCUGAAGCUGGAUUUCUCCAUGGAUGAAGCUCAGGAGAUCUUUCUAAAACCAUGAACUGAUGAGAUGAUAAACAUCUUUGAAAUCGGAUAAAGAGAGUGGGUGAGGUUAUGUUGGGGCUUGGUUUGGACAUUGACCGUGAAUGUGGUUUUUGGUGUGAAGACCACAAUUUUGACAUUAUUUCAUCAAAAUACUAUUUUGUAAGUCCUCCCAUUUUGGGUGAAGUUUUGAUCAUAUUUUUUGGUUGAUUUUUUGCAUUAUUCUAUAUUAUUUAGAAAAAACAAUCCCAAGCCUGCACUAGUUUGAUUGUUUAAAGAUCGA